UACAGAGGGCCCGAGCGUUAAUCGGAAUCACUGGGCUUAAAGCGUACGUAGGCGGACUUGUAGGCAUCUUGUGAAAUCCCUCGGCUCAACCGGGGAAUUGCAGGGUGAACCACAAGUCUUGAGGCGAGUAGAGGCGGUCGGAACGAUAGGUGGAGCGGUGAAACGCGUAGAUAUCUAUCGGAACGCCAAAGGUGAAGACAGGCCGCUGGGCUCGUCCUGACGCUGAGGUACGAAAGCGUGGGUAGCGAACGGGAUUAGAUACCCCGGUAGUCCACGCCGUAAACGAUGCGCACUAGGUCGGGGAGGUUUGACGCCCUCCCGGCCGAAGCAAAAGUGUUUAGUGCGCCGCCUGGGGAGUACGGUCGCAAGGCUAAAACUCAAAGGAAUUGACGGGGGCUCACACAAGCGGUGGAGCAUGUGGCUUAAUUCGAAGCAACGCGAAGAACCUUAUCCAGGGUUUGACAUCCCGGAUUAACCUAUUGAAAGAUAGGCUACGCCCUCUGGGUGGAACGGUGACAGGUGCUGCAUGGCUGUCGUCAGCUCGUGCUGUGAAGUGUCGGGUUAAGUCCCUCAACGAGCGCAACCCUUAUCGCUAGUUGCUAACAGGUAAUGCUGAGGACUCUAGCGAGACUGCCGGUGUCAAACCGGAGGAAGGUGGGGAUGACGUCAAGUCCUCAUGGCCUUUAUGCCCUGGGCUGCACACGUGCUACAAUGGUAGGUACAGAACGAUGCAAGACCGCGAGGUGGAGCAAAUCGCUAAAACCUGCCCCAGUUCGGAUUGCAGGCUGCAACUCGCCUGCAUGAAGUCGGAAUCGCUAGUAAUCGCGGAUCAGCUACGCCGCGGUGAAUACGUUCCUGAGCCU
rnacentral:rRNA from 1 species